UUCGUUUUAUAUUUAGGAUAACAAGAAAGUAAAAUCAGUAAGAGACAGAAACGAAAAAAGGUCCGUUUUUUCAUUUUCUGAGACCGGAAGUGGUCAUCAGCAAGUGUAGAGCCAAACAGAGUACGGUGCAUAGACUGGAUAUAUUUUUUUUCGUUAGUUUUCAUGGUCAAAAUGAGAGAUCAGGUGGCCGAUCUUAAAAUAAAUCAAUAAGGACUUUUUUAUAGAGCGUUAAAGUUUUGCGAAGCCAGGGGGCGGGACUACUUGACUGACAGUCUGGUCUGGAAUGAUUGACAGGUCCUAUGGAGGAGGCAGCAGAGACUCUGCUCUCCUCGUUUGGAUUAAUUCUGAUAUAAUAACUGUUGGUUUAUUUAUCGGUGGAGCAGCAGAACAUUUUCCACAGAUAGUUUUCCUGCCUGUUGGCUUGUUUUAACCAGUUUUCUGCCUUCAGCUGAUUCUACCAGCAGACACUGAAAGGACUCUGAUAGUUCGAGUGAAAGUAGCAGUUCCUCCUGAAGGUCAGAGAUUGCAGCAUCUGAGGGCCUCUUCAAAAGAAGACGUAGUUGAUGAAGGCGUUCUGGAGCAGGACCAGAAAGACCACGACCAAGCAGCCUUGAGAUCUUAGGCAGCUUCUCCCUCAGGUCCCUCUCCAUCUCCCCACACAUCCACCAACCACUGGAACACAUCUCCAAAGUUCUGCUGGACCAGCUCAGCUUCCCCUCAGAAGAAGUGGCGCCACCUGCCAGAUGAAGGAGCCUUUUGAGAGGCAGCUGGCAUCGUGAUUGGACUGUACUUUGGUCUGUUCCAAUCCAGCUUCAGCUCCAGAGACGGCAGGCGGGAUGAGUCAACGGAGGCCGGAUGGACGAAGACCAAAGAACUACAGACUCUUCACAACCUGCUCAAACUCUUGGUACAGGACCUCACCACACGGGUCAAGAAGGUUUC
ensembl:lncRNA